rnacentral:lncRNA from 1 species
GGGCCACUGCCCACAGCUGACUCAAAGGCCACCCACGUUCUAUUCACGGAGAUUGGUGAUGGCAAGGUAAGUGAACCACUGUGUUCUCUUCAUUUCUUUUCUAAUCAGCUUGCUUUGACUUGCAGUAUCAUGUGAAAGAUGGUCUAAUCAUCGGGAGCCAUCAAGCCGAGAAAAUAUUGGGCCACAAACAACCUUCCCUUGUGGUAAAGGACAUGGCCCAGACCAUAUGGGGCCGUGAAGGAUUGGCUGAACGAAGCUAUGGGGGCAAGCUAGCCCCCAAGGAUUAUAAUAAUCCCACUGCUGUAGUGCGGAAACAGCUGAGCCCAGGGAAGGUUGCUUUGAUUAUUGACACUGUGACACAUUGGGGCUCAUGCAAGGGUGUUCCUGUGAAACAAACAGUGGACAAUUUGUCCACAAUUCUGUCACAGAAAAUACAGGACAUCAGGCGGAACAAGAAGAAAGAAAACUAUA